rnacentral:lncRNA from 1 species
UCAAUUUAUCUUACUACACAAAUAAUAAAUAUAAAUAAAAGAGUAAGGUUGAGAGAAAUUUGCACAGAUGAUUUUUAUACUGGUUCGGAUCUUACCAAUCCUACGUCCAGUCGCUUAUCUCAAACCGAGAUAAACAGUUCACUAAGCACAAAACAAUUACAAAUUACAAUCACAAAGAAACAAUUUGUAAGAGUUCAGAAACCACCUCUCUUGAUACCACAAGAGAUGAACCUGCACCUCCUUUGAGUCUUCACAAAGGAUGAAACACCUCCUCCGAAUACUUCACGAAGGAUGAAACACCUCCUCCGAAUACUUCACGAAUGAUGAUCCUCUUCCAAACACCUCCUUAGACGCACCAAGGAUGAACCGGCUAUUUCCUCUGUCACCGUAGCAGCACUUCACCAGNUCCACAGACAAGAGUUUCACAAGCCGAACAAGAAUACACACUUUUCAAGAGUUUAUGAGUUCUUAAGCACAAGGGAAGAGUUACUGUUGAUGGAUAAAGAGAGCCUAUAUAUAGACUCAAGCAAAUACUCUUCCAUUUUUCGUAACUGGCCAUUUUAACGCAUUUAAUCGAUCAAUAUUAGUGUUAAUCGAUUAAAAUAAGUACAACGACUAGAUUUUCAAAUCAGAAACCUCCAACGGCUAGUAUUAAUCGAUUAUUCUCAGGAUUAAUCGAUUAAUUAAUCGAUUAAAACUUGCUUUAAUCGAUUAUUCCAAAGCUGAUUGGGUUCUGGCUUCUAUAGCGAUUUUAAUCAAUUAUAUCAGGGAUUAAUCGAUUAAAACAAGUUUUGAUUCUAAACAACAAAUACAAAGUAUAAAGGUACAAGAAUCAAAACGUACUACAAAUCUAAGUCCUAAACAAUUAAACUACAAUUAUUGCAAAAGCUUUUCAUAACAAAAAUAAGUCUUCAAACGAUCUUCAUGAAUCUUGAUAAAUCUUGACUUGAUUUGGGCAUCAUCAAAACUUCAUCUUCAUCAUUUUGCUAACACGUAUCAUCAAAUCUUAUUUCAAUUUAACAUCCUAAAUUGACCUUUUAAACUUUUAUUUCCUUUACCUCUGAAGUGGAACUUUCUUUGGAUUGGAUUGUUUCUUUAUAUUUUUGCCAGGAAGUUUGUUGCCUAUUACUUUAGCCCAGAUGGUGCAUUCAGGGAAAAAUUUGAUCCCAAUAAAGGUUUUGGUAAUGAGAUCAGUUCUAAAUAUUUUCCCAUCAAUAACUAUAAAAAAUGACGUCUUUUUUUACCAGAGUUCUCCAGGAAGAAUGUCAGGAUUCAUCAUUUUUUUUGUGCUCCAGUGUCAAUGUAUGCAAUUGCUUUGACAAGCUUGUUGAACUUUGUAAGCAAAAUUUGGAUCUCAAUGUUGGGAUGAGGAGGAGAUGAAUUGAUGCUAGUUAUUGCUUCUGAAGAAAAAAUCGAGAGUGGUUCUUCAUCGGAAAGUUCUUCUUCAGAAGAAUUUCUUACUGCAAAAACAAUAUCUUCGUCUGGUAAAGAUUGUUCUGAAUACAAAGAUUCAACUUCUUCAUCCCUAAUUUUUAGAGAUGUUACAAGCUUAAUGGUCUUAUCAACUUUGUUAGGACAAAAUUUUGCAAAGUGUCCUUUUUUCUCGCAUAAAUAGCAUCUUUGUCUUGAUCAGGUACACCGGGAGUGGUGAAAAAUACUUCACAACCAAGAGUGGGUGAUACAUAACCAGAUAAUGCAUCACAAUGAUACUAGAAACGCAUAGGGAUACUAGCAGUGGUGAAUAGUACUAGGAACAAAAGGAGUGGUUGGAAACACUCAAUUGUACUUCAUUGAAUAUUUAAUGGAACCAUCUAAGUUAACAUAGAGGAGAACUGGAUGUAGCCUUAACAGGUGAACCAAUAUAAAAUUGUUUGUGUGUAGUAAUCCUCUAGGUAAACGACUGGUUGUUGAUAAAUGCAAUCUCCUUAAGUGCUCAAGUUAGUCUUAAGCUAUCAACUACUGUUUACAUCGUCAACAACAUACUGCUUUUAUAUCUUUAAAGAGAGUUGAGUUGGUUUUGCAAACAAUCUUAUGGAUUAGCGUUUAUUGACGAAGUAUAACUAACUCACAAGUAUUGCGUACAUCAUGCUUAGUUCUUAAUCUGCGAAAACGAUAUAGAAAACACUAUUCAACCCCCCCUUCUAGUGUUUUCUCACAACUUCACAAGGGUUUCACCAUACAACCCAAAGUUCUAGAUUUUCCCUUGUGAUUAAAUAGGUUUGGUGAAAAAUAAAUGAAGUGGUUGACCAAAUUAUUUAAUGAGUUGACCGUGUAGAAGUUUAUAUACUUCCUUGUCCUGUACCCCUUUUCAUUUCUCUGAUAUCUUGCAUCCCUUUCAUUUUCUCCUUUCUCAUGUGUGGUCCUCCUUUCUCAUUUCAUUCAGAGAGUUUUGAGAGAGAUUUUUUGUUGGAGAAGUGUGGUGGAGGUGUUGUGUUCAUGGUUGGCAUUGGAGCUGGAGGGGAAUGAUUUUUUUGAAGUUUCUUGCAUCAAACAAGUGCAUAAAUCUAUUAGAAAGCUCGCAGGUGUUAAUCAGAUUUCAAAUCCGAUGAAUGCCCACUCAAAUAUCGAAAUCCGAUCGAAUAUCAAAAUUUGAAAACUUGUAUAUUGGAUGUCCAAAUUCAAUUUUUCCUAUCAGAUUUCGAAAUCCGAUAGAGAAAAAACUGGAUUUCAACAUCCGUUGUACAAACUAUCGAAUUUCCAUGUCCGAUAUGUAUUUAACUUGUGCUUAAUCUCGUUUUUAUUUUUUCUUUUUGUUGUUUCCUUAAGUUUUAAUGAUUUUAGCUUUGCAAAGUAUUAAUGUAUUAUAUCCUAAUGUAAUUAAUUAUGACUAUCACUAUUAUCAUAAUAACUGGUAUCAUUUAUUAUUAUUAUUACUCAUUUAUCAUUCUUAUUACCAUACAUUACAUUAAAGUUAGAUUUUGUCUCGUGGUUGCUAUUUUGAUUUGUACUGGAAAAUUGAAAAAGUUAAUGACAAAUUAAACUAAUAAAAUGUGCUGGAAUUAAUGUUCAUAAAAUAAAAAUGGGUGACUAUUUGAAAGGCAUAUAUAAGUUACUACUUCAAUAAACAGUGUAUGAAUUUCGAGUUUCGGAUUUCCAUAUCCGAUAUAUGUUUUUUGGAUUUUGGUGUUUUUUUAAGUAAAUUAGAUUAUUUAUACAUGUUUAAUUUAUUGAAUUAGUUUAUAAUUUGAUAAUUUAAUUUAAAUGAUUAAUUUAUUCUAUUAGUUUUUUAUUUUUUAAUUUUUUUUAUAAAAGAAAUUGUAUGACAUUUUUUAAUUUAUUAUAAAUAAAUUGGUAUUUAAAAUUGAUACGAAAAAAUUAAAUAAUAUUUUGGGUAGUUUUAAGUUUAUUAUAUUGGUGUUUUCUUCUAAGCUUGUUAGAUUAUUUAUAAAUUUAACUUAUUAUAUUAGUUUAUGAAUUUAUAAUUUAAUUAUAAAUGUUUAUUUUAUUCUAUUAGUUUUUUGUUUUUUUUUUUGUGAUGUAAAAAAAUAAAGAAAUGCUUCUUUUAUAAGUUGAUUAGAUUAUUUAAAUAAUGUUAUAUGUUUUUAGAUUAUUAUAAAUGAUAUUAGAUAUUGAGGGAUAAAUUUUUUUUUAUAGGUGAUUAUAAUCUAAAGGGAAGAAUAUAUUUAAGGGAUGGAUUCUCAAAUAAAUUCUAGUAUGCUAUCAGAUUUUUUAUCUUUUAUAAAUGAGGUUGUCGAGGGAUAUCUAACAAAUCAUUUCACAACAAAUGAAUUACUUUCUUCUUGUGAAAACUUAAUUGAAUGGGUGAGAGAGAUUGCACAUGAUCUAGGAGUUGUUGUGGUGACUAUAAGAUCCGAUAAAGCUACCAGUCAACCUGGAAGGAAGACGUUUGUGCUGCUAGGACAUGAAAGAGGUGAAAAAUAUAGAAAAUUCAAACCCGAUGUCCAACCUAGUACAUAUGGCACCCGAAAAUGUGAGUGUCCUUUCAAGUUAAGGGGUAAGCCGUUUGAUAAUGACGAUGGUGUUACCAAUAAGGAGUAUUGGUAAAACCUGAAGAUGUGUUUUGAUGAUACUGCAACUUGUAGAUUUUGGAUGUAGUAGGAAAAUAUUUAAAAAGCAACUUGUAGAUUUUGGAUGUAGUAGGAAAAUAUUAAACCUUGUAAUUUUUACUAGAAUAAUCAAUUAUCACAUGUAUUUUGUACUAGAAUAAUCAAUUAUCAUGAAGCAAUAAUCGAUUAUCACAAGUCAUACUUGAAUAAUCGAUUAUCACUUCAUAUAAUCGAUUAUCACUUUUUGAAAACUCUGUAACGAACUCGAUUAAUCGAUUAUCACUUACAAUAAUCGAUUAUUCAUGGCAGUUGGGAGCUGACCUUUGGCAUUCAGUGUACUUGGCUAUAUAAUUGGUGUUUGAAAUCUUCAGAAGCAACGUUUUGAACUAAGAAAGCUUAUUAGAACACUGUGUGUCAGAGGAACGUUCUCAGAAGCUUUGUUCAUUGUUCCCUUGCUUGGUCUUGUGAAAGGAGAGGCUCGCGUAUCGUGUGUCGAUAGUCGGAACAGACUCUCUUCAAGUUAGCAAGGUGCUCUGCCUAGUCUUGUGAUAGGNUUUCAAAAUUUGAUUUUAAAUUUUUAUUUUCCUAAGAAAUAUUUUCAAAAUCUGAUUUUAAAUUUUUAUUUUCUUCUGAAAUAUUUUCAAAAUUUAAUUUUAAAUUUUUGAAAUCCUUUUUCAAUUUCUUAUGAGCUUUAUCUAAUUUUUCUGAUUCAACUAUUAAAGCAGCAUAAGUUUCAUGCAAUUGACUUUCACUAAAUUGACUAUAAUUAUCAGAAUCGCUAGAUGUACUUACUUGGCUUCCAGCGUCGUCGUCUGCCACUAAACAGAUGUUCGUCUCUUCAUCAGAUUCGCUCGAAUCAGAAAUUGUUUCGUUGUCAUCGUCCCAUGCGAUCUAGGCCUUCUUUUUGUUGAAGGAUUUCUUUUCCUUUAUUUCUUCAUUCUUCUUUUGAUUUGGGCAAUCCGCUUUUAAGUGUCCCCUUUCUUCGCAACCAUAAGAUUUAUAAUGUGAGGAAGAUCCUUGAUUUUCUUUCUUUUCAAAAUUUAAUCUUCCUUUGUCUUUUGAUUUCAUGAACUUGUUGAGCCUUUUUAUCAUGAGUCUCAAAUUUUCUUCCUCUUCUGAAUCUUCAUCUUCAAUUUUGCUUUUGCUCCUUUCUACCUCAGAUUUUAAGGCUAAACUCUUUUUCUUGUUUUUGGCUUUUUCUUCUUCUUCAUCAAGUCUUCCAAGAUCAAGUUCACGCUCCCUAAACUUUCCGAAUAGUGCCGCCAUAGUCAUUGUGUUGAGGUUUUGUGACUCAGAAAUUGCAGUCACUUUUGGUUGCCAUGACCUGUCUAAAGAUUUCAAAAUUUUUAUAUUAAGUUCAUCAUUUUCGAAAGACUUACCUAGUCAAUUUAAAUGAUUAACGAUAUUGGUGAAGCGUUUCUGAACAUCUGANAUUGUUUCUCCUUGCUUCAUCCUAAACAUUUUGUAUUCUUGGAUCAAGAUAUACUUUCUCGCUCUCUUCACAUCAUUUGUACCUUCGUGGGUUACUCUCAUAUCUUCCCACAUUUCUUGAGCAGUCUUACAAAUAGAUAUCCUGUAAAACUCAUCAAUGGUUAAGGCAGAUGAAAUAAUAUUACGAGCUUUUACAUCGUUUUGAAACCUUUUCUUUUCUUAAGCGGUCCACUGAACACGGGGCUUUGGUUCCUGCAAAUUGUUAGUAGGAACAGACGAACCAAAUGCAAUAACAUCCCAAAUCACACAAUCAAAAGACUCAAUAAAAAUUUGCAUUCUAACCUUCCAGAAUGCAUAGUUUUCACCUGUGAAUAAAGGUGGUCUAUUGAUAGAAGCACCCUCUACAAAAGUUUGAUAUGAUCCUGCCAUUUGAAUNACUAUCAAAUCGAGCUCUGAUACCAAUUGUCAGAGCGGCUGCAGCGGAAUGGUUAGCGUGGAAUAACAAACAAAGAGGGUUUUUAAUACAAAUGCGUGCCUUUUAAUUUCUACUCAAUUUAUCUUACUACGCAAAUAAUAAAUAUAAAUAAAAGAGUAAGGUUGAGAGAAAUUUGCGCAUAUGAUUUUUAUACUGGUUCAGAUCUUACCAAUCCUACGUCCAUUCGCUUAUCUCAAAUCAAGAUAAACAGUUCACUAAGCACAAAACAAUUAGAAAUUACAAUCACAAAGAAACAAUUUGUAAGAGUUUAGAAACCACCUCUCUUGAUACCACAAGAGAUGAACUUGCACCUCCUUUGAGUCUUCACAAAGGAUGAAACACCUCCUCUGAAUACUUCACAAAGGAUGAAACACCUCCUCCGAAUACUUCACGAAGGAUG